AAGACGGAUCACUUUGCAAGAGGCUAAGCAUUGGUCUUGGCAGACAGACAGCAAUCCAAAUAUACACCUAUACACGUCCUUGGUCUCAUAGUCUAGCUUGGAGUGGAACAGUGUGUCGCGUGUUGCUUGGUGCAGCGGUGUGCGAGGCGUGUGUGCCAGGGGACGAGGCGAGCUUACCUGAUGGGGCCUUUUGUUGCGGGUCCUGGUAGGACAGGAGGGAAGGGUGGAAGUUUUCCUCUGCCCAGAGCCAGGCCGGGAUUUUGUCUUAUAAAAGCCCGGGAUCGGACCGGGAGUGUGAGAGAAGAGCGUCGGUGUGAGGAGACGUUGGUGUACCCAGGGCUUGGCUGUGCGGUUCCCUGUGUUGGUACGUCCCUCCCGUAUCUCGUGCCUUCCGUGUGGUGCUCAGGACCGGGCUGUGUGAGGCUGUGUUUUUUUCCCCGGGGUGGGGACGUGUCCUGGCGGCAGUUCCACCUUCUCCUGCGUUUUCAGCGUGCGGCACGUCAUGAGCCGAUUGGGCUCAACCACCGGAUCACUCGAUCAAGCGGAGUGAAAAGCCAUCACACAGCCGAAGGAUUAACGGACUACCAUCAGUCAGCACACGGGGGGGCGGGGGGCAGUUAACCACCUGCAUGGAAGUGUUAGCGGACUGUUUGUCGAGCCCCGAGACUCGAGUCACCGACGACGAACUGUGUCCUUGGAAGCACUAGGGGGCGUGACACUGACUCACCCGUGGCAGUGAGCGGCGAGCGUCCCGGACAGUGACAUGAAAGGGGGGAAUACCCUUGUGAACUGCAACGAAAGUUGUGUACCGCGUCAGACCACGCGAGCGCCAUAGGCUAGGGGGCGCGUGUAGACGUGUGGAUGGAUGUCUGGUUUUCCCUUUUGUUUUGUUUUCGGCGUGUGUUAGGGCUCUCCCCUAUUUGUUUGGGUUGGCCACCUGUAUAACAGGGUUUUGUUUUCUUUUUCUUUCCUUUCCCCCAUACUUUUAUGUUAUUUUCUUUUGAGCUGGCGGUCGCAUUACACGACCGCCAAUAAAUUUUUGUUUUGUGUUGUCACUUCGUGUGCGCGUUUUGUGUCCACUGAGGAGUGAUUGGCUUCGUUGCUCGCGUCGGGCGCGCGGAGGUUUGUUGUGUGAUUGCGAGUAUGUGGGAGAGUGAGUCCCGCAACGCCCGAUCGCGUUACGCGACACAGUGCACGGCACAGACAAAGUAAGACUGUCGGAUGGUUUAUGAUCAAAGAUGACUCCAAGAAAUGUCACUUUCUGGACUAUUUUGAGUAAUGAGUACUGUGCUGUUUACAGAGAAAGACGGGUCUCGAAACAUGCCUUACAGUUUGCGAAAGUAGAUGCAUACUGACUCUGCAUCAGAAGAUUUGAAGGUGUUUUCUACACAGUUAAAGCACAUCUGAAGAUUGUGUUCAAGGGAUGGUAAGGAUCUCCCUGGGGUGCGAAAAGAUAAAUCUUCUGCACGCGCCUUUUCCAAACCUGGAUGGACACACUUUCUAUUUUGACACUGAAGAGAGUAGGAAAAAGUAUGUUGCCUUGUGGGAUGCCCAUUUCCGAAAAGUCAGGAGAUAGUGGAGCGAAGUAGAAUUGUAAUCAAUGGUGGAUGUCAAUGAAUCAGUACCAUCCUGUGGCUCAGUGUCUCCAACCUGCAUGUUUCCUUUUAAGCCAGCCUGAAACCUAAUCUUCCUUACAGCCGCCCACACUAUACUGGAAAUGGUGUGGAAGGAUUAACCUAAAACAGAACUCUGUAACGCAAGUUUUCUAUUUUAUUUUUAAAAAAAACCAUUGUGUGCCUGCAUUCAACGGAGUCUAAAACUGAGCAUGUUUUCUGUUUCUGGAGUGGGGUGGCAAAAGGCAAGGCUUUCUUCAAAGCCUUCUUCAGGCAUGCUAAAUCACCGGGCAUUCCUUGAUAAAGAAUUGAACAUGUGAUUAGUGAUUAUGUGUCCUUUGUCCAGGAAUUGUUGCUGAAGCAUCUCCCGUUUUAAAAAAAAAGUCCUAGAUGGUCCUGUAAGGGAUUGUGUAAGGCUGUGUUUUACGCCAUGCCAGCAGCCAGGGCCACAUCACAACGACAUAAAGUAAACUUAUUUUAAACAGUUUAGGGGCAAGUUCCCCAUGUGAUAUAACCACAAAAUCAGCAUCAAUAAAAUGCAACACAAGAAACAAGAAUAAUGUAAAAAGAAGAGGACACAAUCAAGACUGGGAAAAUCAGAUCUUGUGAGAGCUGUGAAUAUGAUUCUGUCUUGAAAGAGCGACCACUUGCUCCAGACAUUUCAAACCAGAAUGUUACAUUGAAGGUAAGUCAACAGGCGAGAUAAAUAUAGCUUUUUAUAUUUUAGAAUAUUUUGAUUUUUCAGUGGCUGUAAGCAUUGCUGUGAAAGAUCAAAAGAUUCAUAGUUGUAAAAAUAGUCAAACUAUUAAUCACACAACAUUUAUCCAGCACAGGUGUCUUAAAACUUGUGGAGACUGCUGAGUGCUGGAUCGUAUUAGAGAGUGAGAAAGCUUGUGUGUGUGUGAAGAAAAUAAGUAACCUAUUAUAAUGUUAUGUUAUAAUAUAACCAACACAAGGUAAAACAAGAAUUGAGAAGCACAUUAAAUGAUUGCAUUUUUGUAGAUACUAACAUUAACAUGAACAGGAUUACUUAAAUUCAACCCCUAUUUAGCAAUGUAUAUUUAAAAAUAAAUCAAAACAUCAGAACACUUAGUGUUCCUUCUUCAAAAGCUCAAAUAACUCUUUGCUGGGGCUGGAUUAAAUCAGCAAAUUAGUGGGCUAAUUCUGUACACAAGAUAAUUAGUUUAUUAUGACAACUUGUCAAAAGAUCAGUUACAGGUCUGCCUGCCUUACAUUAAUCUAUUUGAAACAAUUUGCUACUUUUUAUCUGCCUGUAGAUCUUUACCUAUUUGUUCACUUUUCAGGUAAAGGCAUUUGUCAUCACCGUAUCCCAGUAAGUCAACCCAUGGAGUUUAUGCCAAAAUAGACCAUUGAAACACCUAAGCCAUAUACUAGGAAGCCAUCAGUGAGUAUUAAUUAUUCAUUACUAUGAUACAACAUGGUCACUGUCAAGAGUAAUGCAUUAUUAAUAAAUGCGUUUUAUGUGAAACUGUUGACAUUAUGUCUACCAAUUUAAUGUUCUUAAUGGUUCUAGCUUCAACAUUCUGCAUUAUACCUCUUGAUGCCUUUACAUCCUUGCAUGAUAAGAUACUCAUAUAUUUCACGUCAGCUGGUUAAAAACAUCUGCAGUAGCUAAGCUAAAGCAUUGAUGAUAAGAGUAGACCUGAUUGUUGCUUCAAUAAUAAGAGGUUUUUUAUAUAACAUUUGUUUACAUUUUAAGACUGUCUACCCUUGACACAUCUUUUAUUAACUCGCGGUAUAAAGUUCUGAUUGUGCACGAAAUGUUACAUAUAAUCUUACUUCACCAAUGGUAUCAAUUAGUGGAUAAGAAUGAGGUACUAUGUUCCUUUAUUACAGACUCCUGUCUCUUAUUUUGCCUUGUUCCUGACCUUGGCUGAAAUACAGCCGAACAAUAAAAAUAUACAAUUUCUCAGGCAGUUAUCUUUAUUGAAUUGAGUGUGCAUGAAUGUAAGUGCCAAAGUGAUUAAAAGCCAUGGAAUCAACACACAUCAAUUUUUAUUUUAUAUAUAUAUACAUCACAUAAAGCUCCUCUACUUAUGCUUAAGAUUACAACGCUUUUUGGAUAAUUAGGCUUGGCAAAACAGUCCAUUAGCUUUUAUACAAAAAGUAUUACAUGUCUGAUGACAAUAAUUUUCUACACAAAAAUAUUACGUCUGAUGACAAUCAUUUUCUACAUAAACCGUAACUUUUGAAUGUUUUACUCUUAUAGCCAUGACAUUGACACAUUAAGUAUAAUGUCUCUCUUAAAGCAGAAAAUAGCAUCAACCUGAAGUUGGGACGGUGAUUUUAACAUUAUGAUCAAUAUUAAUCUUGCACAAAUGUAAAUAAAGGAGAUGAUACAAAAUUAAUCGAAAUACAAGGACAUCUAUAUUAUGUCAACUCAGUAUUAAUUAAUUUUGUGAUGACAAUUUGAAUUCGCAUGGAU